UACGUAGGGUUCAAGCGUUAUCCGGAAUCACUGGGCGUAAAGCGUGCGUAGGUGGCGUGUUAAGUGCAAUGCGAAAUCCUGUGGCUCAACCAUAUGGACUGUAUUGCAUACUGGCAUGCUAGAGGACGGCAGAGGCAAGUGGAAUUACCGGUGUAGCAGUGAAAUGCGUAGAUAUCUGGAGGAACACCGGUGGCGAAGGCGGCGUCCUGGACCAACACUGACACUGAUGAGCGAAAGCCAGGGGAGCAAACGGG
rnacentral:rRNA from 1 species